rnacentral:rRNA from 1 species
GACGAACGCUGGCGGCGUGCUUAACACAUGCAAGUCGAGCGGAAAGGCCCCUUUGGGGGUCCUCGAGUGGCGAAGGGGGGAGUAAGACGUAAGUAACCUGCACUUGACUUCGGGAUAACUUCAGGUACCUGGGGCUAAUACCGGUAACGAAUCCUUGCUGCAUGGGGGGGGUUGGAAAGCUUCGGCGGGUUUGGUUGGACUCGCGGCUUAUCGGCUUGUUGGUGGGGUAGUGGCUUACCAAGGCGGUGAAGGGAAGCCGGCCUGAGGGGGCGACCGGCCAUACUGGGACCGAGAGACGGCCCCGAUGCGGACGGGUGGCAGCAGGGCGGAAGACUGCACGAGGGGCGGCGGCCUGAUGCAGCAGGGCCGCGUGCGGUAUGACGGCCUUCGGGUUGUAAACCGCUUGCAGCAGGGGCGAAGCUUGUGGUGACGGUACCUGCAGAAGAAGCACCGGCUAACUACGUG